rnacentral:rRNA from 1 species
AAUCUGUACUGCCAGUCAGUACCGAAUUGUAGUCUCGAGAAGUGUUUUCAAGGCGGAGAGGAGGUACCAAAGUUGCUUGGAACAGCACACCGUAGAGGGUGACAGUCCCGUGUGCGGUACCAACUCACUGUUGACGAUACACUCUCCACGAGUCGGGUUGCUUGGGAAUGCAGCCCAAAAUGGGAGGUAAACUCCUUCUAAAGCUAAAUAUGGACACGAGACCGAUAGCGAACAAGUACCGUGAGGGAAAGAUGAAAAGAACUUUGAAAAGAAAGUUAAAAGUACGUGAAACCGUCAGUAGGGAAGCGCAUGGAAUUAGCAGUACCUCGGAGAGAUUCAGGCCUGCGGAGCUUGUUCGAGCUGGUGUACAGAUCCGAAUGGACUGUCGGUGGUUUGCAACGGGCUUUGCGAGCUGCACUUCUCUUCGGCGGUGCGUCAACAAAUGUUGAGGAUGUACGUGAAACGCUUCUCUUGGAGGUGGCCGGCUUCGGCUGGUGUUACAACUCGAGUUGCCCAACGUACACUGGACAUGGGAGUGCGGUGCAUGCCUUCGGGCUGGCCCCUUCGGCUACAAUGAGUUGUCGAGCAUAGUGGACUACGUGUAGUGCACUUGAAAUGCAGUUCUUUGGAGUCGGAGGAAGGUACAAAUGUGCCAAGGUUGUUGGCGGUCAAAUGAUUUCAUACGACCCGUCUUGAAACACGG